GAUAAACGCUGGCGGCGCACAUAAGACAUGCAAGUCGAACGGACUUAACUCAUUCUUUUAGAUUGAGAGCGGUUAGUGGCGGACUGGUGAGUAACACGUAAGCAACCUGCCUAUUAGAGGGGAAUAACAGUGAGAAAUCAUUGCUAAUACCGCAUAUGCUAACAGUAUCGCAUGAUACAGUUAGGAAAGGAGCAAUCCGCUAAUAGAUGGGCUUGCGUCUGAUUAGCUAGUUGGCAGGGUGAUAGCCUACCAAGGCGACGAUCGGUAGCCGACCUGAGAGGGUGAUCGGCCACAUUGGAACUGAGAUACGGUCCAA
rnacentral:rRNA from 1 species